rnacentral:rRNA from 1 species
UACGUAGGUGGCAAGCGUUGUCCGGAAUUACUGGGUGUAAAGCGCGUGUAGGCGGCAGGCCAAGUCUGCGGUGAAAGCGCCCGGCUCAACUGGGCGAGGUCCGUGGAAACUGGUCAGCUGGAGGACGGUAGAGGAGAAUGGAAUUCCUGGUGUAGCGGUGAAAUGCGCAGAUAUCAGGAAGAACACCCGUGGCGAAGGCGGUUCUCUGGGACGGUACUGACGCUGAGACGCGAAAGCGUGGGGAGCGAUCCGG